rnacentral:lncRNA from 1 species
AAGAUGGUGCACAUAUGAAGAUUAAAAACAAUGAGACGUUAAAAUCACGAAUAAUUAUAUAAAUAAAGAUCGUUGGAGGAUAAAAACAAAUAUUGGAAAGUAGUCAUGCACGAAAAAAUAAAAAAUAAAAGAGGAGAAUGAUAGAUGAUUUAAGAGGAAGAUAUAUGGAAAGGUAGGAACACACUGAGGAUGUUUUUAUUAGCAAAUGACAAUAUUAGAGAAAAGAGGGAGCAAAUGUAGGAAAAAUAUAGAAAU